AGAAAGUUGAUUUUUAAGGAUACAAAAUUUCAUCAAAAUUUACAAUUUUGGCAAGGCUAUAGCCUUACUUUUCGACUGGUUUUUUGGGUGUUCUAAAAACACCUCUCUUUCGUCCAAUUAUCUAUCAAAGAUGCCAAAACCCUGAUUUGAUGGCCUUUUCCUCACUUGUUUCAAUCUCUUACUUUUUACGUAAUAGUAUAUGGUUUUUAGGUCAUUAGCUGUCAUAUGAUUUGAUCAUUUGGAAGUGUUUUUUGACUGGUAAGACCACAAUCUUCCUGAAGAAAUUAUAGUAUGACGUUAGUACUAUAUACCACAAUGGGCUUGACAAUAGAAAAAGAAUUUGUAAUGGGAUACAGUAGGAUCAACUUUGUCAUCAAAAUUGACAAGUUUAGUUUAUGUCGUUUAACUGCUUUGCAAAAGGUUUCUCUGAAAAAACUCUACCUGUAUGAGGACAUGAAUGGGGACUUAACGUGUCCCUUCUCUCCACUAGCUUAUGGGUCCAGCCUGACCCGACUGGUGCCACCUGGCAGGGUUCCCUAGCUCAGGGCAACUCGGGGGGAGACCGGCAACGGGGGGCGGAUGAGCUACGACUCCAGUGGUCAACGGCUUCGGGCAGAAGAACUCCUGGAAAGAGGGUUGAUGUCCCUUUAAAAACACCGUAUAGGUGGCUCUGGGGGCCCAUUUCUACUAUUAGCCCCUUAGUUUUAUCUAUGACCAUGACAACAAACCAAAACUCAGAUUUUGGGAUGGUUGGAGGGUCAUGGUAGCCAACCUUCUGAUAGAAGAUGGUACCUUAUGAUGAGGUGUCCAAUUUACCACAGCUUUACCUGAAUCGAAUCGCACCCUUUUAAAAAACCAACUGUAGCCUUAUCAAGUUGUUCUUUUAAAAGCAUUAAAGAUAUUUGUGAAAUAUGUUAUUGAUGAAUUUUUUAGGAAAAGAGAAAACUAGUAGCACAAAAGUCUUUCUGAUGUUAUAGUACCAGCCUACUUCUUAAAAGGUCUGCUUUUUGUAAUAAUGACAACAACAGCUGAUAACGAUGCAGAUCAUUACGUAAAGAACCAAGUUAGUCAGCUGUUUUACGAGCAAAGUGGGAAAUAACUUGUUUCGUAGAAACAGCAAACAGAAAAGCAACUGCAAACAUCACAAGAGUUUAUUUACGUAGUUUUUCACUUAGUCGUUAUCCCUAAUGCAGCUGGGGAAACAAGGGAACUCUUUGCUAAUGUGAUUUUACAAAAACAAAAACUUUAAGCUGAAAACAUGUUCUGAAAGGAGAUCUUGGUGGUGAAAACAAAGCUAUGCUUCAGGGAGAUCUUUCUCUCGAAACCCUUGCAACAUCAAGUCCCCAACACGACAUUGCUAUAUCCAUCUCAUUUCUGUUUAUUUGCAAUGGUGGCGAAAAAGUUAUAAAUUUCUAAAUAGGUGCAAGGCGAACAAGUAGGAAAACGAAAAGGCCAACAAGAAAAUGGACGUUUUCUGGAAAACGCUCUCCAAUUGGGCUAAGAAAUUAUGAAGUGCCCUUCCAACUUAUUUCUGACCACUAAAGAAAUGGACAGAAAUACAGAAAAAAAUACAUUAACAUCAAAAUAUUUUGCAUAAAAUCAAUAAAAUAUAUAUUCCUUAAAUGGGUAUUAAUACAACUAAACUAGUAGCAAUGUCUAAUAGAUGGGGAUGAAAACUACCUUGGGCAACUACAAUUGUUUAUUGUCUUAAAAAAUUGUAAUAGUCAGUAACCUUAUUAAUUUGUUCAUAAACCCCCGUCUCAGCAUCAGUAAAAUAUGGUCUUUGUAAGAAAAGGAAAGGUUAUACCAGAGUGUGACAUAGAUGAAAUUGUAUCGUUGAAAUUGACUCCCAAAGCUCUUUACAUAAAGGUGACUUUUGAUUUCAUCAUAUAACUUUUCACAUAUCUAUUAACCCGGAAACAUGGGACAGGAUUGCUAACCCCCCUGGAAAGCCAAAAAGACUUGCUAGCCAAUCCCCGUGUUUGGCUUAAAAACUUAGACGCAGGAAAAUUUUGUUUCGUGUAUGGGAAGUCCAAGUUCGGAAACAGUAAAAGAAGAGAUACAGACGAAGCAACAGCAGUACAACAGCAAGGAAAUCUUUCAUCGACAUGAAGUACCUUAUCGGUGUGUUACUUAUAGGCACAUUGGCUUCCUUGUGUUUUGCUUCACCUAAAGAGACAGUUGGUCACAAAUGUGACACUGGUUGUCCGUUUAUAUACCGACAGGUUUGUGGCAGUGAUGGAGUGACAUACGACAAUCUUUGCCUGUUAAAAAUUGCAGCAUGCAAAGCGAAUGAGAACAUUUAUGCAGUGAAGGAAGAACCAUGCUGACCUGGCAUACCCCAUCCUUUUUUACCAAAAGACUUUAAAGCUGAUAGCAUUGCUUUACGAAAUAUGAAUAGUUUAUGAAAGCUGAAGUUAAAUAAUUCUA